rnacentral:rRNA from 1 species
AUAACGACUCACAACCACGGAAUACUUGGCACUUGCAACGAUGAAGAACGCAACGAAAUGCGAUACCUAGUGUGAAUUGCAGAAUUCCGCGCAUCCACGAGUCUUUGAACGCCAGUUACGCCCGAGGCUUGUCACGAGGGCAUGCCUGCCUGAGCGUCACCG